rnacentral:rRNA from 1 species
CGGUGUUCAACUGGCGUGCCCGCGGGACGUCCUGCCGGUGAGCUCAGCCCGCGAGGGCGGCUCAACUUGAAAUCCCAUCGCGGUGCUCUUCAUUGAGUGUCGAGGUGGGCCGGCACGAUUACUUUUGAACAAAUUAGAGUGCUUAAAGCAGGCUAAAAUUUUGCCUGAAUACUGUGUAUAUGGAAUAAUGGAAUAGGACCUCGGUUCUAUUUUGUUGGUUUUCGGAACCCCGAGGUAAUGAUUAAUAGGAACGGAUGGGGGCAUUCGUAUUGCGACGUUAGAGGUGAAAUUCUUGGAUCGUCGCAAGACGGACUAAAGCGAAAGCAUUUGCCAAAAACGCUUUCAUUGAUCAAGAACGAAAGUUAGAGGUUCGAAGGCGAUCAGAUACCGCCCUAGUUCUAACCAUAAACUAUGCCAGCUGGCGAUCCGCCGACGUCCCUCUGAUGACUCGGCGGGGCAGCUUCCGGGAAACCAAAGCUUUUGGGUUCCGGGGGAAGUAUGGUUGCAAAGCUGAAACUUAAAGGAAUUGACGGAAGGGCACCACCAGGAGUGGAGCCUGCGGCUUAAUUUGACUCAACACGGGAAACCUCACCAGGCCCAGACACUGGAAGGAUUGACAGAUUGAGAGCUCUUUCUUGAUUCAGUGGGUGGUGGUGCAUGGCCGUCCUUAGUCGGUGGAGCGAUUUGUCAGGUUAAUUCCGAUAACGGACGAGACUCUGACCUGAUAACUAGACGCACUUGCGGCAUCUCAAAGGUCCGCCGGCGGCUGGCUUUGCGCCCGUCGUCGCGCGCGAUUUUUACUGCCGGCGUACAAUAAAUUCUUCUUAGAGGGACAAGUGG